rnacentral:rRNA from 1 species
GACGAACGCUGGCGGCGUGCCUAACACAUGCAAGUCGAACGGGGUGAUUCCUUCGGGGAUCACUUAGUGGCGAACGGGUGAGUAACGCGUGAGGAACCUGCCUUUCAGUGGGGGACAACAGUUGGAAACGACUGCUAAUACCGCAUAAUGUAGCGAGACCGCAUGAUCUUGCUACCAAAGCUUUAUGUGCUGAAAGAUGGCCUCGCGUCUGAUUAGAUAAUUGGUGAGGUAACGGCUCACCAAGUCGACGAUCAGUAGCCGGUCUGAGAGGAUGAACGGCCACAUUGGGACUGAGAUACGGCCCAGACUCCUACGGGAGGCAGCAGUGGGGAAUAUUGGGCAAUGGGGGAAACCCUGACCCAGCAACGCCGCGUGAAGGAAGAAGGCCUUCGGGUUGUAAACUUCUUUUACCAGGGACGAAGAACGUGACGGUACCUGGAGAAAAAGCAACGGCUAACUACGUGCCAGCCGCCGCCGUAACAC